GAUGAACGCUGGCGGCGUGCCUAAUACAUGCAAGUCGAGCGAACAGACGAGGAGCUUGCUCCUCUGACGUUAGCGGCGGACGGGUGAGUAACACGUGGAUAACCUACCUAUAAGACUGGGAUAACUUCGGGAAACCGGAGCUAAUACCGGAUAACAUGAUGAACCGCAUGGUUCAACCGUGAAAGACGGUCUUGCUGACACCUAUAGAUGGAUCCGCGCCCCAUUAGCUAGUUGGUAAGGUAACGGCUUACCAAGGCAACGAUGCGUAGCCGACCUGAGAGGGUCAUCGGCCACACGGGAUGUGAGACACGGUCCAGACUCCGUCGGGAGGCCGCGGUCGGGAAUCUUCCGCGAUGCGCGAGUGCCUGACGGAGCAACGCCGCGUGAGUGAAGAAGGUCUUCGGAUCGUAAAACUCUGUUAUUAGGGAAGAACAAAUGUGUAAGUAACUAUGCACGUCUUGACGGUACCUAAUCAGAAAGCCACGGCUAACUACGUG
rnacentral:rRNA from 1 species